GAAUCCCGUCUUUGACACGAACUGCCUGUACAUUAUGGUGUGCUCUCGAAGAGUCGAGUUGUUUGGGAAUGCAGCUCAAAAUGGGUGGUAAAUGCCAUCUAAAGCUAAAUAUUGGCGAGAGUCCGAUAGCGAACAAGUACCGUGAGGGAAAGAUGAAAAGAACUUUGGAAAGAGAGUUAAACAGUACGUGAAAUUGCUGAAAGGGAAACGCUUGAAGUCAGUCGCGUUGGCUAGAAAUCAACCUUGCUUUUGCUUUGUGUACUUUCUGGUUGACGGGUCAGCAUCAAUUUUGACCACUGGAUAAAGUCUUUGGGAAUGUGGCAUCUUCGGAUGUGUUAUAGCCCAUUGUCGCAUACGGUGGUUGGGAUUGAGGAACUCAGCACGCCGCAAGGCCGGGUUUCGACCACGUUCGUGCUUAGGAUGCUGGCAUAAUGGCUUUAAUCGACCCGUCUUGAAACACGGACCAAGGAGUCUAACAUGCCUGCGAGUGUUUGGGUGGAAAAACCCAUGCGCGCAAUGAAAGUGAAAGUUGAGAUCCUCUUCAAAGGGGGAGCAUUGACGCCCGGACCAGACCUUUUGUGACGGAUCCGCGGUAGAGCAUGCAUGUUGGGACCCGAAAGAUGGUGAACUAUGCCUGAAUAGGGUGAAGCCAGAGGAAACUCUGGUGGAGGCUCGUAGCGAUUCUGACGUGCAAAUCGAUCGUCAAAUUUGGGUAUAGGGGCGAAAGACUAAUCGAACCAUCUAGUAGCUGGUUCCUGCC
rnacentral:rRNA from 1 species